rnacentral:misc_RNA from 1 species
UUCUUCACUUCCGUUGAGUUCCGCCUCGCCGUUUGUCCCUUGCGGUACCCGUCCGCAUACGAAUCUAGCCCGGGAACCGAGUUGCGGGAGUGCGGUCUGUGCCGUUCCGGCCAGGAGUUUGCCGACUGCAGACGUCCUGCGAACCGUGGAUCAAUCUUCCUGUCCUACAACUGACAAAGGAUCCCCUAAAGACCCCUGGAAGGCUGGACCAUGGCACAAGAACUGCCUUCAUCCAUCACCGGGAGCAAGUGUGGAAGAGAUGCAUCAACAUUUGGCGUGAUGUGGGCCUUUUUGGGGUGCUAAAUGAAAUUGCAAACUCAGAAGAAGAGGUGUUUGAGUGGGUGAAGACGGCAUCCGGCUGGGCCCUGGCACUCUGUCGAUGGGCCUCUUCCCUCCAUGGGUCCCUGUUCCCCCAUCUGUCUCUCAGGAGCGAAGAUCUGAUCGCUGAAUUUGCCCAAGUCACAAAUUGGUCCAGCUGCUGCUUGCGUGUCUUUGCAUGGCACCCCCACACCAACAAGUUUGCAGUGGCCCUGCUAGAUGACUCAGUCCGUGUGUAUAAUGCCAGCAGCACCAUAGUCCCCUCCCUGAAGCACCGGCUGCAGCGAAAUGUGGCGUCUCUGGCCUGGAAGCCCCUUAGUGCCUCUGUCUUGGCUGUGGCCUGCCAGAGCUGCAUUCUUAUCUGGACCCUGGACCCUACCUCCUUGUCUACCCGACCCUCUUCUGGCUGUGCCCAAGUGCUGUCUCACCCUGGGCAUACACCUGUUACCAGCUUGGCCUGGGCCCCCAGUGGGGGGCGGCUGCUCUCAGCUUCACCCGUGGAUGCUGCUAUCCGGGUAUGGGAUGUCUCAACAGAGACCUGU